GCAUAUCAAUAAGCGGAGGAAAAGAAACCAACAGGGAUUACCUCAGUAACGGCGAGUGAAGCGGUAACAGCUCAAAUUUGAAAUCUGGCUCUUUCAGGGUCCGAAUUGUAAUUUGUAGAAGAUGCUUCGAGUGUAGCUCCGGUCUAAGUUCCUUGGAACAGGACGUCAUAGAGGGUGAGAAUCCCGUAUGUGACUGGUGGCUUUCGCUCAUGUGAAGCUCUUUCGACGAGUCGAGUUGUUUGGGAAUGCAGCUCAAAAUGGGUGGUAUAUUUCAUCUAAAGCUAAAUAUUGGCCAGAGACCGAUAGCGCACAAGUAGAGUGAUCGAAAGAUGAAAAGCACUUUGGAAAGAGAGUUAAACAGUACGUGAAAUUGUUGAAAGGGAAGCGCUUGCAACCAGACUUGCAUGCUGUUAAUCAUCAGGAGUUCUCUCCUGUGCACUUGGCAGUGUUCAGGCCAGCAUCGAUUUUGGUGGUUGGAUAAAGACCUUAGGAAUGUGGCAUCUUUCGGGGUGUGUUAUAGCCUUCGGUGCAAUGCAGCCAACUGGGAUCGAGGACCGCGCUUCGGCUAGGAUGCUGGCGUAAUGGUUGUAAGCGACCCGUCUUGAAACACGGACCAAGGAGUCUAACAUCUAUGCGAGUGUUUGGGUGUUAAACCCAUACGCGGAAUGAAAGUGAACGGAGGUAAGAACCCUUAAGGGUGCAUUAUCGACCGAUCCUGAUGUCUUCGGAUGGAUUUGAGUAAGAGCAUAGCUGUUGGGACCCGAAAGAUGGUGAACUAUGCGUGAAUAGGGUGAAGCCAGAGGAAACUCUGGUGGAGGCUCGCAGCGGUUCUGACGUGCAAAUCGAUCGUCAAAUUUGCGCAUAGGGGCGAAAGACUAAUCGAACUAUCUAGUAGCUGGUUCCUGCCGAA
rnacentral:rRNA from 1 species